rnacentral:lncRNA from 1 species
CUCUUCUUUUUUCAAGGACAAAAAAAAAAAGAAAAAAAAACAUCAUACUUAGGGUCAGCAAUCACUUAACCCAUUUAGGUUGGUCAAGAUAACCAAGAAAACAAAUCAAGGUUGCUGGUCUAUUGCAUUUUGAACUGGAUUCUGACCACACGUCAGAAAAAAAUUCCUAUGGUGCAAUUCCAAUCCCCAACUACCUCCGAGGACAACUGCAUUUGAAGACAAUCUUUAACCAGGUGAUUGAUUAAAAUGAGAGUAGGAGGACUAGACUGCAAU